rnacentral:misc_RNA from 1 species
AGAAAAGACCACUCUGAGUUUUCUUGCAGGUGUCUCUCCAACUCUACAACUUUUCUUGUUUAAUUAAUCAACGCAUGGCUGCCACCAUCUCCACCGUUGGAGCUGUCAACAGGGCACCACUAGCCUUGAAUGGCUCUGGUGCUGGAUCCUCUGUCCCAACUUCGGCUUUCUUGGGCAGCAGCUUGAAGAAAGUGAGCUCAAGGUUGACAAACUCCAAGGUUUCAUCAGGAAGCUUCAAGGUUGUUGCAGAGUACGAUGAGCAGAAGCAGACUGACAAGGACAGAUGGGGAGGCCUUGUCUCUGACACAUCUGAUGACCAACAAGAUAUCACCAGAGGGAAGGGUUUGGUGGACUCUCUCUUCCAAGCCCCCAUGGGAACCGGAACCCACCACGCCGUUUUGAGUUCUUAUGAGUACAUUAGCGCUGGGCUUCGUCAAUACAACUUGGACAACAACAUGGAUGGUUUCUACAUUGCUCCUGCUUUCAUGGACAAGCUUGUUGUUCACAUCACCAAGAACUACAUGACCCUGCCAAACAUCAAGGUUCCUCUCAUCUUGGGUAUCUGGGGAGGCAAAGGUCAAGGAAAAUCCUUCCAGUGUGAGCUUGUCUUUGCCAAGAUGGGAAUCAAUCCAAUCAUGAUGAGUGCUGGAGAAUUGGAAAGUGGAAACGCUGGUGAACCCGCCAAGCUCAUCAGGCAAAGGUACCGUGAAGCAGCAGAUAUCAUUAAGAAGAAGGGAAAAAUGUGCUGCCUCUUUAUCAACGAUCUUGAUGCUGGAGCAGGUAGGCUUGGAGGAACAACCCAGUACACUGUGAACAACCAGAUGGUGAAUGCUACCCUUAUGAACAUUGCUGAUAACCCAACAAAUGUGCAACUUCCUGGCAUGUACAACAAGGAGGAGAAUCCCCGUGUCCCUAUCAUCGUCACUGGUAACGAUUUCUCUACAUUGUAUGCUCCUCUUAUCCGUGAUGGUCGUAUGGAGAAAUUCUACUGGGCACCUACCAGAGAAGAUAGAAUUGGUGUCUGCACUGGAAUUUUCAGAACUGAUAGUGUUGCUCUAGAAGACAUUGUCAAGCUUGUUGACGCCUUCCCGGGACAAUCCAUUGAUUUCUUCGGUGCUGUGAGGGCAAGAGUUUACGAUGAUGAAGUGAGGAAGUGGAUUUCAGGCGUAGGAGUGCAGACCAUUGGGAAGAAACUUGUGAACUCAAGAGAAGGACCCCCAAAAUUCGAACAGCCAAAGAUGACCCUGGACAAGCUCCUUGAGUACGGACAGAUGCUUGUCCAAGAGCAAGAGAAUGUUAAGAGAGUCCAAUUGGCUGACAAGUACUUGAAUGAGGCUGCUCUUGGUGACGCCAACCAGGAUUCCAUUGAUAGAGGAACUUUCCACGGUCAAGCUGCCCAGCAAGUACAUAUACCUGUUCCUGAAGGUUGCACUGAUCCGGUUGCUGCAAACUUUGACCCAACUGCUAGGAGUGAUGAUGGAAGCUGCCUUUAUUAGUUGUAAAUUUUUUAUUUGAAUUUUUUUUAUGUUGUCCUGUGGAAGAAUAAGCACUUUCCAACUGAUGUGGAAAUAAUUUCCUUUUCUUAAAUGGAUUGUUAUCCUCUAAUUUUGUGUGAUUAUUACAAUAUUCAAUCUUAAAAGAGUGCUUUGUUUCCUACCACCAACUUCAGUUAGUCUCUUGUUAUUACCACUUCUUUUUCUCCGAAAAAAAAAAAAAGAAAU